GGAAUUCUAAGGAUACUUUGGGCUAUCUCGAGGUUGAAGUUUUCCACUAGGAAGCCGAGGAGAUCAAGGGUUUUCCGUAGUCGAGGUUUUCAAUGCAGCUUGUGGUAGUUUGUGAUGGACUAGUUGGAGCACUCUACAGGGUUAUAUCUUUCGAAGAGCCGUGCCCGGGUUAUGUGGCAACUUGGAAACUUUGUUUAACAUCCAGUUCUAGAUAACUUGAAGUAAACUUAAUUAAAAUAUGUCAACUAUGUGCAUAACUGUGAUUGUCUCUUCUCGUGAGUUCUACAUCUGGAAGAGGACACAGUGGGGUUAUUGUUGGAAAUAUGCCCUAGAGGCAAUAAUAAAU
rnacentral:lncRNA from 1 species